rnacentral:rRNA from 1 species
GAUCCUGGCUCAGGAUGAACGCUGGCGGCGCGCCUAACACAUGCAAGUCGAACGGCACCCCUCUCCGGAGGGAAGCGAGUGGCGAACGGCUGAGUAACACGUGGAGAACCUGCCCCCUCCCCCGGGAUAGCCGCCCGAAAGGACGGGUAAUACCGGAUACCCCCGGGCGCCGCAUGGCGCCCGGGCUAAAGCCCCGACGGGAGGGGAUGGCUCCGCGGCCCAUCAGGUAGACGGCGGGGUGACGGCCCACCGUGCCGACAACGGGUAGCCGGGUUGAGAG